GUAAAAUGUCCCCAGCAUUGUGGUAGAAUGUCUGGUUUUCCCACAUCCCCCCAACACAGUAGGCUUUUUUUUAAAAACCAUUUUAUCAAUACAUAUAAUCCACCCACCCCAUAAUUCACCCAUUUAAAGUGUGCAAUUCAGUGGGUUUUAGUGCAGUUACAGAGUUAUGCAAUCCUCACCACAAUUGAUCUUAGAGCAUAUUCAUUCCGUACCCUUUAGCCAUCACCCCUCAAUUCCCCUCUCCUCCCAGCCCCCGCCAACCACUAAUCCACUUCCUGCCUCUCUGGAUCUGCCCAUUCUGGAUGUUACACUGUGUGGUCCUUUGCGACUGGCUGCUUUCGCUCAGCAUCGUGUUUAUGGUGGCUUUUUGAUCUGUGCCAAUUAGAUGGUGGUUUUGCUUGGAGGUUCUCCAACUUAAUGGUGGAGACCGAGCUUCUUUUCCUGUGUGUUUUCAGGGCUCCAUCGGCCUCCAAAGGACUGGAAGCCUGUCCCGGAAGAGGGGGGAGAGAGGGAGCCAGAGGGGAUCCCCCCGGCCUCUGUCCCUCCACUGUACUGGUGAGUAGGAUGGCGGAACCUGGAUGCCUCCUUUCAGGGACACACAGGGGUGCUUAGGAGCAUCCCAGCCCCCUAACCCCAGCCCUUCUCCCCAGGAGCCCUGGAGGCCUCAGCUCUCCCACCAGUCGCCGGAGACUCCGGGAGAUACCCCCUCUAUCAGCUGCUGAACUGUGGCCCCAGGAAUGGGUGAGACGUCAGGGAGAAGGUGGGGAGAUGGGGAAGAGGCCGGGCCACUGUAACCCGCCCCAUCUCUGCUCCCUCCUCCCAGCUGUGCGGCCCUCCACCCGGACAUCGCCCGCAUGGAGCGCCUGCUGAAACAGGCCGUGGCGGAGAGGGAGCGGCUGCUCCAGGCCAGGGAAGGGACGAGAAGGAGCACAGAAGCUUCCUCCGGCCCUGAUGUACCUGCCAUCAAGGUCAGUCCUGCCCCUGCCCUCCUCCUCCCUCUCCCCUGCUCUGUCUCACCCCCUGGUGUCUACCUUUCUUAUCUCACCCUCUCCUCUCCUCCAAAGGCACAGGAAAGUGUCCUGGGAGUUCCCGUUGUGG
rnacentral:lncRNA from 1 species